GACGAACCGUGCGAACGUUGUUCGGAAUCACUGGGCUUAAAGGGCGCGUAGGCGGCUUGCCAAGUCCGGGGUGAAAUCCUCCAGCUUAACUGGAGAAGUGCCUUGGAAACUGGCGAGCUCGAGGGAGGCAGGGGUCGUGGGAACUUCCGGUGGAGCGGUGAAAUGCGUUGAUAUCGGAAGGAACGCCGGUGGCGAAAGCGCACGACUGGUCCUCUUCUGACGCUGAGGCGCGAAAGCCAGGGGAGCAAACGGG
rnacentral:rRNA from 1 species